rnacentral:tRNA from 1 species
GGAGGGGACGGCUCAAGUGGUAGAGCGCGUGCUCCGCAUGCAUGAGGUCCUGGGUUCAAUCCCCAGCACCUCUA